ensembl:miRNA dre-mir-152 microRNA 152
AAGUUCUGUGAUACACUCAGACUUUGAAUCAGUGGUAGUCAGUGCAUGACAGAACUUUG